rnacentral:rRNA from 1 species
UAUUUAUUUUAUUAUAUUUAUUUUUUGUUUACUUAAUUAAUUAAUAAAAAUAAUUUUGUUGAAUUUUGUCUUAGUAUAUUUUGUAGAAUUGAUUUUUUAGAUUAUAGUUUAUUGGUAAUGUAAUUGUUUUACGAAAUAUUAUUUUAAAUUUUUAAAAGUAGAUUUUAUUUAUUGUACCUUUUGUAUCAGGGUUUAUCAAAAUUUUAGUAUUUACUUUACUUGUCUCGAUUUGGGUUGAUUUAUAAAUAAUUUAUAGUGAAUGUAUCAUACUUCUGAUUAAAUUAUUUAUAGAAAUGAGAUGUUAACCGGCCCCCAGGAUAUCUAGUUUCAUAAGAAAAAAUUUAAUUUUUUAAAGUUAAUUGUUUUUAUUUAAUUUUUUAAGUAUAAAUAUUAACUUAUUUAUUCUUUAAGGGAUAAGCUUUGAAGUUAAUAACCUAUAAUUUGUUUUAAUAAAAUAUAAAAGUAAGCUUUAAACCAGCUAUCUUUAAGAUUACGUUUUAGUUCAUUAUUUUUAUUUUUGAUUUUAUAACUAUUUUAGGUUUUUUAUUAAGAUUAUAAAUUUAAUUUUUAAAUUUUGGCAAUAAGGAAAGAAUUAGUAUAUUUAUUUGUAUAUAAUUUUUACCUUGUUAAUUUAUUAUAAGGAACUAGGC